ACCAGACUCCUACGGGAGGCAGCAGUGGGGGAUAUUGCACAAUGGGGGGAACCCUGAUGCAGCGACGCCGCGUGGGCGAUGGAGUGCUUCGGCAUGUAAAGCCCUAUCAGCAGGGAAGAAAAUGACGGUACCUGACUAAGAAGCCCCGGCUAACUACGUGCCAGCAGCCGCGGUAAUACGUAGGGGGCAAGCGUUAUCCGGAUUUACUGGGUGUAAAGGGAGCGUAGACGGCGGUGCAAGCCAGAUGUGAAAGCCCGGGGCUCAACCCCGGGACUGCAUUUGGAACUGUGCUGCUAGAGUGUCGGAGAGGCAGGCGGAAUUCCUAGUGUAGCGGUGAAAUGCGUAGAUAUUAGGAGGAACACCAGUGGCGAAGGCGGCCUGCUGGACGAUGACUGACGUUGAGGCUCGAAAGCGUGGGGAGCAAACAGGAUUAGAUACCCUGGUAC
rnacentral:rRNA from 1 species